AGGCGUGAGUCACCACGCCCAGCCAAAAUUUAAUACUUUUUAUAUUAAAAUUACAUAUAUAUAUUCUUACUUUUAUUUUUUGAUACUGGCUUUCACUCUGUCACCCAGGCUGGAGUGCAGUGGCACAAUCUCUGCUCACUUCAACCUUCACUUACCAGGCUCAAGCAAUUCUGCCUCAGACUCCCGAGUAGCUGGGAUUACAGCUGAAGCAUAUGCCCUGCAAGCUUAGGGGUGCUACACUUGACCACGGCGGCAGUAAAGAUGACUCUGAAGAAUGGCAUGGGAUGGAUCCUUUUGAAUGCACUCAAGCAGGGGUCUCCAACCACAGGUCCAUAGAGCCGGAGCUGAAUCUACCAUGAAAGACUUCAGAAUCCAGGAAGAGAGACUGACUGGGCAACAUCUUAUUCAGUAGAUGGGAUCUCACCCUGUCACCCAGGCUGGAGUACAGUGGUGCAAUCACAGCUCACUGCAGCCUUGAACUCCUGGGCUAAGGAUCCUCCUGCCUCAGCUUCCUGAGUAGCUGGGACCGUAG